AGAAGCCCAGUUCACUGUGUGACAGAAGGGAAAAUUAAACAAUCUCUCUGAAGCAUAUCUUCUUUACAGAAAAAUCAACAUCUGAGGUACAUUUUGACAUGAAGAUUAAAUAUGAUAUAUAUAUAUAUAUGUGCAGAUAUGGCUGGGUCAGUAAAUUAUUCCUUUCCUUCUCCUUUGAGCCUUGCUUUCCUUAUCUCAAAAUGGACACAAAUGAACUAAGUAUUCUCUGAAUCCCUUGCCAGAUCCAAUAUUUCCUGGAAUGGCACCAUAAACAUCCCCUACAAGGGAAAUAAUCUGGGGGGUAGAAAUCACUGAAAGUUUUGGGCAAGUAUACAGUUUGUGUUAGCUUAAAAUAAUGCUAAUUCUAAUUAAUGUAUUCAUUCAUUAGUUUAAUACAUAUUUAUUGACUAUAUUUUAUGUGCCGGACAGGUAAGACACAAAGAUGGACAAGAUAAUGUUUUGUAUGCUUAAGGAACUUACAGGUUUCAUGGGGUAGUGGUGUGAGAAUUGUUAGUUAUGAAAUAAUAUGGUAAGACUAUGGGGGGAAAAGUGAGUACGAGAUACUGUGGAACACAGAAAAGUAAUUAACAUGGUCUUAGAGGGAAGAUUUUACAACAGAGGUGACAUUGAAGCUGGGAUUUGAAAAAUGAAAGAUUUUCACUGAUGGAUCCAAGGCAUAAAGAGCUUUCCUGGAAGAAAUACCACACCGAAGGUAGAGAGGCAAGAGACAACAUGACGUGUGGAGAAAGGCAAGAAGGAUGCAGUGAUCGAAGUGUUGAGUGCACUGUAGAUGAAAAAUGAAACCUGGUGUUUCACGCUCUGCUGAAACUGGAAUCCUCAUCCUGCUAGCUUUCGAGACUCGCCUGUAGCAAAUAGAAAGUAGCAAAAGUGAAGCUGUGCGUUUUCCAAGGCUAGAUCAUAAGCGGUGAUACAGCUCCUACCAGGCUCUCUCUAUCUCUCAUGACGUUUGCCUUGGGACUCACAAGUUAAUGUGUUGUUCUUUCUAAAAGUAAAACAGAGAAAGAACCAUGUACAGCAUGGAAGCUUUUUGUCAAUUUCUCGACUGUGGCAAGAUUUUAAUCCCUGAAAACCGCCCGGGGAGGGUGAAAUUGCUAAUCAAAGAUAAAAGCUAUACAAACCUCUGGGCACUCAGCGGAAUUGAAGUCCUCAAAAGCACUAUUCAAGUCAAAUUUACUUCUGUCUAAAUUAUAUUUUGGCUGCUUCCAAUGAU